UACGAAGGGGGCUAGCGUUGCUCGGAAUUACUGGGCGUAAGGGCGCGUAGGCGGACAGUUUAGUCAGAGGUGAAAGCCCCAGGGCUCAACCUUGGAAUUGCCUUUGAUACUGGCUGUCUUGAGUUCGGGAGAGGUGAGUGGAAUGCCGAGUGUAGAGGUGAAAUUCGUAGAUAUUCGGCGGAACACCAGUGGCGAAGGCGACUCACUGGCCCGAUACUGACGCUGAGGCGCGAAAGCGUGGGGAGCAAACAGG
rnacentral:rRNA from 1 species